GCCGCGAUAGCCAAGGUGGUCACGGCGUUGCUCUGAAAAAGCAAAGAUCCCGGUUCGACUCCGGGUCGCGGCA
rnacentral:tRNA from 4 species